GCAACAAAUUACAAAAUACUAAUUUUAAAAGCUAGAUACAAGAUACCAGCUAACAGAUACUAAGUUGCAGAAAAAGCAAGAGAGAAGGAAAGGGCCCAGUUCUUGAAAAUCCCUAUCACUGUAGACUUGCUUUGGCAGGAAAAUAAAGCAGGUAUAUUUUAAAUAUUUUUUUAGAGAAUGGUGGCAAUCCCAAAGAAAGAAUCAGGGUGCAAAGGACACUGACAUUUUAACUCAGAAAGAUCAGCAGCCUUUCCCUACAUGAAAUUCCUCUAAAAUCACUUGGAGAGUUAGUUCACAGACAGGCCUCUAGGGAAGAACUUUAAUCCCUAAUUAGAUUGUCUGAGGAAGCAGCUCUGGGGAAGAUUGUUAUUUUUACUUUGCAAUUAUAUUUUCUUAGCUGCAGAUAGACAAUAAUUAUGAAUGCACCUCUGUUUUUGCAAAAGCACACAGAUUAAUUAAUGUGCAUCCUCAGCUGAUCCAGACAGAGGGCUUGGAGGACAGAGCCAGAAUGCUGCCACGCAUGUGCCGUGUCCGUGAAUACGGGAGCAGGCUUCUAUUCACAUACUGUCUUCAGGGGAUAGGAGAGUGGAUGAUGAAUAGAAAAUGUGAAGAAAGAGGAACACUCAUUCUUACUGGGAAAAGUCGGCUGCGCACUUGCUAAGCCACGGAGCUGUGGGAUGUGCUGAUGAUCUUGCAGACUUUUCCAAUGGUGAAGUCUGCUUAUGGAUCUCUCUGCACUGGAGUGUUGAAGAAAGGACUGCCCAUAUUCUACUCCCUGCCUCACCUCCUGGGCAUCGGCCAGCGCGCGCAUCAUGUGCCAACAUGGCAGUGAUCGUACACGGCAAACCAACCACCGGACAAGUUUAUCAUGUUUAAAAAUCACAGCAGAAUUUCUUGUAAAAGUUUCACAGGCAGAGUGAAACAGCAUUUCUUUGUCAAACCAUUUCAUUAGAAUUUCUGCCUAAAGAAAGCAUCCAGAUUGGCCCUGUGUGCUGCUUCCUUUAGCUGGAAAAGCCUCUAUAAAGUAUUUCUGGGGACUGAUCCUUCAGGUACCACCCCCAGGAGGCGUAUCCUUGCCCGUGACCCUUAGUUUUCAGGAGGCAGUUUUGAGCUUGCUCUUUAGUGUAGAGAACAUUCCCCAUUUCGAUCACUCACCCCCCAUGCCUUCUGACAUUUGUGAUGCAUAUGUGUUACCAUUGGAUAGUCACUAGCAGUCACUAGGGAUGGGAGGCUCAAAGCAUCCAUCACACGUGACAGAAUGCAUUCCCCCAGCCACACCACACAAGUGCCUGACGGGCAGCUGCACAGAAGUGUGAAUGUCACUUUCUGAUGACUUCAGCUUCCCGGUGCAGGAAGCUGGGAAAGCAGACAGUCCUGCUGCUGGCACAUUCCUUCGGUGUGACUCUUUCCCAACACGGAGGCCAUAUCUUCAUCUGUAAACAGAGGCCGUAACACCUACCUCUGGCACUGUGAGAACCACACUGACGCCUCAUAAAGGCAGCCCUGGCUUGUGGGAAGCUUCUUCCUAGCCUUCUCUCUGUCCACACACACCUUCACCACACAGGGAAGUGUUGGCUGCAGCCAGGGCUGUGACAAAGGGCAGGCGGGGGAUACGCCCGUUCAUGGGGCGUGUUUCCUCACUCUUUCCGACGUUUCUUGCACCAAGCACUCGGUCAGUGUUGGGAGCGUCCCACUUGGGGCAGCUCUUGCAAUUGCCGGGUGCCAUACAGAUGAUGCCCGUAAAUUCGGCAGAGGAACAAUCCACGUGGAAACCAGUAAGAAACAGGCACCUAAUACCUCUUGCCACGCUCUGCAUUUCCUUCUUACUCUCCUGGUGGUGAGCACUGUUGUGACACUGAUUUUUUAAUAACAAAACACAAGGCUCGCCACUGAGAACCAGGAAGGGUCUAAGAGGGGGCAGGAAGCAAGUGGGACCCCUAUAACUACCAGUCCCCUCCCCCCCAACUUGACUAGGGACACUGUACUUGACAAGCUGCGUACAAAGUGCCACAGCGCAAGAGCUAAGGAGGAGCUCACCGAGACAGGUUCUGAGGACAAAGGAAGGAGGAAGACUGCACGUUCCAGUAAUUCCAGCAAGGCUUGCCUCAUCCUCCUUGGUCCUGCCCCACCUGCCCCGGGCCCAGCAUGGCUGGUCUCUGUUCUGUUGGAGCUGAGCGGCUGGGAGCACAGGCUAGCGAUGAAGGGCAGCCUGGGAAAGGCAAGGCCUUCCCUCUGCUUGCUCCUCACCACACCAGGUCAGGCAGUAGCUGUGUUCUUUCCUGGCCCCAGCCUUGUCACGUGACCCUCAGAGCCAACUGGGCCCUACGUUCUGUACCUCUGACCCCCUCCCUGUGAAAGCCUCCAGCUUCCCACGCCAGCUAAUUCUCGCUGUAAAAGCCUAUUUGCUUUACUGAAACUUAAUUCGCAAAGCAUGAUAGUGGUGAUUUCUGGAGCAUGGGGGUUGAAAUAGCCGUCAGGAUGAUCCAUUUUAGAACAUUCGAAUCUCAAAAAGAGACCUGGUGCCCAUUCAAGGUCCUUUAACAUUUCCCCCAGUGCCUCCGGCCUUCGGGAACCACCUACCUGACUUCUGUGCCCAUGGAGCUGCCUGUUCUUGAGACUUCAGAUGAAGGGUCAGAUGACAUUCUCCACCCUUCUGAGUUCCCUUAAUCUUGUCCACACCUGUGUAAACAAUCCCUCCACAGAACUCCCUCAGUUAACCCUUUAGUGGGCACGUUGUCUUCCUGGGACCCUUAGCUGAGACUUGUUUACCAGGAGGAGGGAGGAAGAGAAACAGGGAACCAAGAGCAGGAAGGGCAUCCCCAGCCGCGGUCACCGGCCACCGUCACCGGCCACCGGGUGGGAAGAGUGCAAUCAACGCGACGAGAAACAGAAUUUGGGCGCUGUGAAAGCUGAGGGACCAGAGCGGCCCUUUGAGGUUAACUGUGAGCAGGGCCCUGGGGAGAGCGUCCAGCAGCACCGAGGUGCGGAAGGCCAACAACAUGGUGUGUCUAAGCACCUCUUCCUUGCUUCCAUCUUAGAACUAAGCCCCAGAAACAGACCCCGCAAGUACCCCAGCCCUUCGUUUGCACUCUUGGACAUGGGCAUCUAAUCCUGAGAACCACCAUGUCCAGCACAAUGGGAGGCCAUCUUUAAUGGACAGAAAGGAAGAAGACCAGAGACGACAGUCAGGUGGAUGGUGGCAGGACGUCCUCAAGGGCCAGGCCUGAGGAGCAGUGAGACAGCACGGGACCCUGGGUCAACACGAUGGGAUAUCCUCGGCCUCUCAGAAGUCUUCAGACUCCUCCGCUCUGCUCUUUGUCCGCAUGACCUCACUUCCUGUGCUUUCUGGCAAAUGUGCUUCCUGUUUGGGAAUGAAAGCAUUCCAGGGGAGGCAGCUACCUGCCUUCCUCUUGCUUCCUGGUUCCUGCAGGAUAGCAAGGGUGCUCAGUGUGAGACCUUAGCUGGGUUCUGGUAGAACAGGGACCUGGAAACCGGGAAAGCCUGCCUGCAGUCACCUGCUGCAUCUGGAAACCGGGAAAGCCUGCCUGCGGUCAGUCACCUGCUGCAUCUUGAGUCACCAAGAAGAGGAGAACCCUCAUCCCAACCAUUGAAAAAAAAGCCCAUUAUUAACUUCAGCCACACCCCUCACAAACAGGUUUGCACGCUGGCCGUUUAGACAAGCGAAGGGCAAACAUUAAAUAAUUGCAGUCCACAGCACACACAGCCAGUAAAACAGCGUGUCACAGAGGGUGGCUUUCACAGCCCUAAGUACAGGUUGGGCUUCUGCCUGUUUCAUUUUGAGAUAAAUGUGGGUUUUUAGGGGAAAAAAAAUCACAGCCUAUGGAAAUUUCAUUAACUGUCAGAAACCUGUCUGUCUUUCUUAAUUGAAGUGAUCAUUUUUAUCCAGUUCAGAACCAUGUUCUCCUGUUGCUCUCCACGGAGAAGAGGUCUUAUUUUACAUCCCACAAAGUUUACACACGAAGUCUCUCUGUUUCUCCCCUCCUGCAUCACAGCCCUCUGAUAUCCUUGUCGAAGGACCAUUGCUUUUCUGCCACCAAUGGAGAAGUCGGUCACAAAGAGCUGGAGUGACCAGCUCAAGCCUGCAAGCCCCAGCUGAUGCUGUGGGGCCAGAGCUACACACCACCCACCUUUGGAACUCAAGCCUCCCACGAUCGGGUUAGGAACAGGACCUAGUAAUGCUUGGAGCAAGACUGCUUCUGCUGCAGGAGUCUCCAGUUGGAACUCGUCGUCUAGAAAUAUCCCAGGAGCUUUUUCACCAAGUUCAAUGUCACAGAACGGUACAGCUAAGAAGACCUCAGAAACUACUGAAGCCAGUCCCAGCCUCUUA